rnacentral:lncRNA from 1 species
UGAGAGUGUAAUUUCUGUUACACACUGGUUCUAUCCACCUUACCACAUACAUUACUUUACAUAAGGUUUUCUAUAUUCCUUCAUUUACCUGCAACUUUGCUAUCUGUUAGCAAACUUACUUUAGAUUCCAAAUUGACUGUUUCAUUCACCAAUACUUCAUGUAUAUUACAGGACCAGCACCAAAUGCACACAAUAGCAACUGGU